rnacentral:lncRNA from 1 species
UUAUGGACGCCAGUUUUCUCUUUUUAUUUUUAUGUGGGUUCUUGGGAUCAAAUUCAAGUCAGCAGGCUUGUGUGGUGUUAAAAAUCAGACUGAAGGGGCUGGAGAGAUGGCUCAGCGGCUAAGGGCAUUUGCUGUUCUUCCAGAGGACCUGAUUUCAGUUCUGGCUCCAUGGGAUCUAACGACACCCCUCUGACCUCUGCAGAUUGGCUCCCGAACCAGGGGCCUGGA